AGUACUGUAUUGCAACUAUAAUUGCUUCAGUCCCUUCCUUCCCUUUAAAAAUGUGUGUAUCUCAUAAUAUUAUUCAUGAUAUGCUUAAUCCUUGCUAUGACAAAUUCACUCAUCAAACCCCUAUGUUCUCUUUCUGUUUUAAACUCAUUGUUAAGCAAUUUCGUGUCUGAAACUCCUGUUUUACUCUGCUGGACAUCUAAUUCUGUGUUGUAUAUGGAAAUUGUGAGCUGUCCACCUUAUAAUUGUCAAACCACAAUAAUCCCUCUAUAAUGUCUUCUUGAUUAUAGUGCGAGAUAAUGCAAUUGUUGUUGUCAUCAUGACAGCUAGCUUGAACUCAGAAGUGUAGUUUAUAACUAACGAUUCGAAAAUUUUGACUUUAUUUCCUAUCAGAUUUGCAUGCGGAUUCGGAAGAGGCAACCAAUUUAUAGACCCCCACUACACGCUCCAUACCUUCAGAUCAUUCGGUGAUGUGUCUACAUCUGCAGCAGCUUGUCUCCCUAAGCAUCCUUUUGGUAUUCAACUUAAUCGCGCAGCUAAAGGCAUGCAGGAUCGAGGUGAUAGACCAUCAGAGCAAUCACAGCAUACCUGUAAAAGCCACGGCCCGAAUAAAAGCCAAUAAGCUACAUCCCGAUAUUGAGAAGGGGAAGGUGGCAUGGCCUCCGUAUGUCAAUUCCAAACGCCACCUUGUUAGCAACUGUUGAGAAUGUAAUGCAAUUAACGGGUCUUAGAGGGCCUUUGUGUAAACGUGUGUGUAAGGCUAUAUAAGCCAACAAUUCUAUCAAUGAGAAUAUGAGAAGAAACCCUAGAAAACCCAAUUCACUUAACAUGGUAUC